rnacentral:rRNA from 1 species
UACGGAGGGUGCAAGCGUUAUCCGGAUUCACUGGGUUUAAAGGGUGCGUAGGCGGUCAGGUAAGUCCGUGGUGAAAUCUCUGAGCUUAACUCAGAAACUGCCAUGGAUACUAUUUGUCUUGAAUAUUGUGGAGGUGAGCGGAAUAUGUCAUGUAGCGGUGAAAUGCUUAGAUAUGACAUAGAACACCAAUUGCGAAGGCAGCUCACUACACAGUUAUUGACGCUGAGGCACGAAAGCGUGGGGAUCAAACAGG